rnacentral:rRNA from 1 species
GUCCUCUUGAUUUUGUAGGAGGUUUGGCCUGCCCGGUGAAAUUUUUAACGGCCGCGGUAUUCUGACCGUGCAAAGGUAGCAUAAUCAUUAGUCUUUUAAUAGAAGGCUGGAAUGAAGGGCUUAACGAGGUAAUAACUGUCUCAUUUAAAUAGAUUAGAAUUUAACUUUUAAGUUAAAAGGCUUAAAUGUUAUUGGAAGACGAGAAGACCCUAUAGAGCUUUACAUUUAGUGUCUUUAACUUAUUAUUAGUUUAUGAAUAAAUGUUAUUGUAGUAAGUGUUUUGUUGGGGUGACAAAAAUAUUUGAUUAACUUUUAUAUCUAUUUUACAUUAAUUUAUGAUUAUCAGAUCCAUUAUUAUUGAUUAUUAGAAUAAGUUACCUUAGGGAUAACAGCGUAAUCCUCUUUUGGAGUUCAAAUUUACAAGGGGGCUUGCGACCUCGAUGUUGGAUUAAGAUAAUAGUUAGGUGUAGCAGCUUAAUUUAUAGGUCUGUUCGACCUUUAAAUUCUUACAUGAUCUGAGUUCAGACCGG